rnacentral:rRNA from 1 species
UACGUAGGGCGCAAGCGUUAUCCGGAAUUAUUGGGCGUAAAGAGCUCGUAGGCGGUUUGUCGCGUCUGCCGUGAAAGUCCGGGGCUCAACUCCGGAUCUGCGGUGGGUACGGGCAGACUAGAGUGAUGUAGGGGAGACUGGGAUUCCUGGUGUAGCGGUGAAAUGCGCAGAUAUCGGGAAGAACACCCGUGGCGAAGGCGGCUCUCUGGGACGGUACUGACGCUGAGACGCGAAAAGCGUGGGGGAGCGAACAGG